rnacentral:rRNA from 1 species
AUUGAACGCUGGCGGCAGGCCUAACACAUGCAAGUCGAACGAGUGGCGGACGGGUGAGUAAUGUCUGGGAAACUGCCCGAUGGAGGGGGAUAACUACUGGAAACGGUAGCUAAUACCGCAUACCAUCGGAUGUGCCCAGAUGGGAUUAGCUAGUAGGUGGGGUAACGGCUCACCUAGGCGACGAUCCCUAGCUGGUCUGAGAGGAUGACCAGCCACACAGGAACUAGGGCACGGUCCAGACUCCUACGGUAGGCAGCAUUGGGGAAUAUUGCACAAUGAGCGCAAGCCUGAUGCAGCCAUGCCGCGUGUAUGAAGAAGGCCUGCGGGUUGUAAAGUACAUUCAGCGGGGAGGCGUUACUCGCAGAAGAAGGAUCGGCUAAGUCCGUGCCAGCCGCCGCGGUAAUAC